GACAGGUGAGGGACAGGUGAGGACAGGUGAGGACAGGUGAGGGACAGGGUCAGGACAGGUGAGAACAGGUGAGGGGUCAGGACAGGUGAAGGGUCAGGACAGGUGAGGGCCCCCCAGUGGAUUAAGGACCCCCCACACCUGAGCCAGGUGUCCAUCCCCAGGUACCCCCAGGUACCCCCAGGUGUCCCCAGGUAUCCCCAGGUGUCCCCAGGUGUCCCCAGCUGUCCCCAGCUGUCCCCAGG